rnacentral:rRNA from 1 species
GAUGAACGCUGGCGGCGUGCCUAGUACAUGCAAGUCGAGCGAACAGACGAGGAGCUUGCUCCUCUGACGUUAGCGGCGGACGGGUGAGUAACACGUGGAUAACCUACCUAUAAGACUGGGAUAACUUCGGGAAACCGGAGCUAAUACCGGAUAAUAUAUUGAACCGCAUGGUUCAAUAGUGAAAGACGGUUUUGCUGUCACUUAUAGAUGGAUCCGCGCCGCAUUAGCCAGUUGGUAAGGUAACGGCUUACCAAGGCAACGAUGCGUAGCCGACCUGAGAGGGUGAUCGGCCACACUGGAACUGAGACACGGUCCAGACUCCUACGGGAGGCAGCAGUAGGGAAUCUUCCGCAAUGGGCGAAAGCCUGACGGAGCAACGCCGCGUGAGUGAUGAAGGUCUGCGGAUCGUAAAACUCUGUUAUUAGGGAAGAACAAAUGUGUAAGUAACUAUGCACGUCUUGACGGUACCUAAUCAGAAAGCCACGGCUAACUACGU